rnacentral:rRNA from 1 species
AGAACGAACGCUGGCGGCAUGCCUAACACAUGCAAGUCGAACGAGACCUUCGGGUCUAGUGGCGCACGGGUGCGUAACACGUGGGAAUCUGCCCUUGGGUUCGGAAUAACAGUUGGAAACGACUGCUAAUACCGGAUGAUGACGUAAGUCCAAAGAUUUAUCGCCCAAGGAUGAGCCCGCGUCGGAUUAGCUAGUUGGUGGGGUAAAGGCCUACCAAGGCGACGAUCCGUAGCUGGUCUGAGAGGAUGAUCAGCCGCACUGGGACUGAGACACGGCCCAGACUCCUACGGGAGGCAGCAGUGGGGAAUAUUGGACAAUGGGCGAAAGCCUGAUCCAGCAAUGCCGCGUGAGUGAUGAAGGCCUUAGGUUGUAAAGCUCUUUACCCGGGAUGAUAAUGACAGUACCGGAGAAUAAGCCCGGCUAACUCCGUGCCAGCAGCCGC